UUAGUUGACAUUUGUCCGGGUUAGGGUUUACAAAGUUAUAUGUACGGUACAAGGAAGGGGAUUUGCCGCUCAGCGCGGGCUACUGAGAGAGAUACAUGUUUAUGUGCUUGCGGCCUCACAUCCAAUCCUAUAAUUUGAAUCAUUUUUGCAUGUAGUGAUUCUCUGUUUCUGUCCUCUUAAUCUCAGAUAUUCAUGGAUUAUUUUUCUGGGUUUAAUGCUAUUUUGUGAGCUAAAAUCGAUUUUGUCCUAGAAAAUGGACUGGAUUUUCUAAAAGUUCAAUGAAGUUUCCUGCUUAAACUACUGAUUAUUGGAUUUUGGUUUAAUCGAUUUUUUUUUUCGGUGAGUUGGUUUCAUCAAUUUUUCUAUGGUUUGUUUAGUCUUCCUAUUCCUACUCAUAUAUGUAUGUAAAUGUAUAAUCCAGUGAAUUUAAAGAUGUUAAUUGGUGGGGUUGGGAGGAAGGAGUUGUUGGAUCACUCAUGCAAAGAUGAUUUGAAUUAUUGCUUGGUGUUGUGAGCAACGAGCACUUCCAACAUCUUAGAGGAAGAAAUAUUGCCCUCUUAACGCAAGAGUAAUGCAUCUUUUUGUAUUGUGCGACUUCUUUGAAGAACCCAAGGCCAUAAAUGGAAAGGCUAUCACCCACUGUGGACCCCGUUAAUCACGGCAAGACACAGAUACAAUAGCGUAUUGUGAUGGAUCUAUUGAAUCCCUCAUUCCUUGGGAGAAGAAAAUCACUUUUUCAGAUUCCUCUGGUGAUUUUUGUAGCUCAUCUUUGAUCGGUGACAACAAGAAUUAGCAUUAUUGGUGCCACACUGCUGUCUGUUCAUGAUGAAUUGAAUGGAGGGAAUAAAGAUGCACUUUCAUUGUGGCAUUGGUUAACAAUGACAGUUUUAGAAGGCAAGCUUGGAUCACUGAUGCCAGAUCUAUGAAAUAUGGGCCAUAUUUUAAGACGAGUACAGAAAAAAAACAUAGAAUCUGAAUGCUGGGUAUGCUCUGCUUAACCCAUUUUUAUUGAUGAUUUUAAGAUUAUAGACAAGUGCAGCAUGGCAUUAUAGUUUUCUUUCUUACUCGGAUCAAAUAGAGGGAAGAAAGAUGCUCUUGUGAUGCUGAAUAAUAUAUUCAAUUGAGCUGAACAAAGAGCAGGUCUUUGAGUGCUGUGCUGUAAAUGGCAAAAGGCCUUGGUUUCCAAAAAGGGAACAUGUUUGGCAAAGAAGACAUUGGUAGAUUUUGUAAAUAUGCACUUUGACAUUUUAAAUAGUCAGCCAGGAUACAAUUCGUCAAGAAUGGAUGUGAUGGAUCAGAAGGAUUGGUUCAGCUCGUCCAGAUUGUGUUGGAUUUAUCAUUUUUUGAUGAGCAGACUCCUGGACCAGUUUAUGUAGCUCAUCUGGGCUUGCAUGCUCUCCAGCCUGGGAAAGUUGAAGAAAUGUAUAAUUACCCUUUGGAAGAUACAAGGGAUGCGUUGAUGAAAGCAUGAUCAAUCAAGUAAGGAACGGCGUCGUUUACAGAGUUGAUUGGGAAGUCCUUUGGUUUCUGGUACGAGUAAAAAAAUGGCUACAAGACCGAGGGUGGAAAAACCGGCAAAGAGGAAGAAUGUGCCGGCAGAACCAAGGGUCUUGGUCAACGACAAGAACGUCUUGCUCAUGAUGGGGUUCGAGACCCAGUUGGAAACUGCAGCUAUUGGGUUGUUGGAUCACUCAUGCAAAGAUGAUUUGAAUUAUUGUUUGGUGUUGUGAGCAGCAAGCACUACCAAGAACAUCUAAAGAAGAAGUAUUGCCCUCUUGACACAAAACCAGGAUACGGACUCAUCAAGAAUGGAUGUUCUGGAUCUGAUGGAUUAGGUCAGCUUGUCCAGAUUCUGUUGGAUUUAUCCUUUUUGGGCGAGCAGACUCCUCUACCAGUUUAUGUAACUCAUCGGGGCUUGCAUUCUCUCCAGUGUGCCUUUGGAAGAUACAAGGGAUGUGAAAGCGUGAUCGAUCAGUCCUUUGGUUUCUGGUACAAGUAAAUAAAUGGCUAUAAGACCGAGGAAUGAAAAACCAGCAAAGAGGAGGAAUGUGCCAGCAGAGCCAAGGGCCUCGGUCAACGACAAGAAUGUCUCGCUCACGAUAAGGUUGGAGG